rnacentral:rRNA from 1 species
AUUGAACGCUGGCGGAAUGCUUUACACAUGCAAGUCGAACGGUAGAGGGGGCAACCCCUCGAGAGUGGCGAACGGGUGAGUAAUAUAUCGGAACGUGCCCAGUCGUGGGGGAUAACGUAGCGAAAGUUACGCUAAUACCGCAUACGAUCUACGGAUGAAAGCGGGGGAUCGCAAGACCUCGCGCGAUUGGAGCGGCCGAUAUCAGAUUAGGUAGUUGGUGAGGUAAAGGCUCACCAAGCCAACGAUCUGUAGCUGGUCUGAGAGGACGACCAGCCACACUGGAACUGAGACACGGCCCAGACUCCUACGGGAGGCAGCAGUGGGGGAAUUUUGGACAAUGGACGCAAGUCUGAUCCAGCCAUUCCGCGUGCAGGAUGAAGGCCCUCGGGUUGUAACUGCUUUUGUACGGAACGAAAAGGUCUCUCUUAAUACGGGGGGCUCAUGACGGUACCGUAAGAAUAAGCACCGGCUAACUACGUG